UGGGGAAUUUUGCACAAUGGGCGAAAGCCUGAUGCAGCAACGCCGCGUGCGGGAUGGAGGCCCUCGGGUUGUAAACCGCUUUCAGCAGGGACGAAUAUGACGGUACCUGCAGAAGGAGCCCCGGCUAACUACGUGCCAGCAGCCGCGGUAAUACGUAGGGGGCAAGCGUUAUCCGGAUUCAUUGGGCGUAAAGAGCGCGUAGGCGGACUGUUAAGUCAGAUGUGAAAACCGGGGGCUCAACCCGCGGCCUGCAUCUGAAACUGGCAGUCUUGAGUCUGGUAGAGGAGAGUGGAAUUCCUGGUGUAGCGGUGAAAUGCGCAGAUAUCAGGAGGAACACCAGUGGCGAAGGCGGCUUUCUGGGCCACGACUGACGCUGAGGCGCGAAAGCGAGGGGAGCGAACAG
rnacentral:rRNA from 1 species